GACAGAGGGUGCAAACGUUGCUCGGAAUUACUGGGCGUAAAGCGCGUGUAGGCGGGCUUGCAAGUCAGAUGUGAAAUCCCUGGGCUCAACCCAGGAACUGCAUUUGAAACUGCAAGCCUUGAGUAUCGGAGAGGAAAGCGGAAUUCCUGGUGUAGAGGUGAAAUUCGUAGAUAUCAGGAGGAACACCGGUGGCGAAGGCGGCUUUCUGGACGAUAACUGACGCUGAGACGCGAAAGCGUGGGGAGCAAACAGG
rnacentral:rRNA from 2 species